GUAGAGGAGCGUUCUGUAAGCCUGUGAAGGUGAGUUGAGAAGCUUGCUGGAGGUAUCAGAAGUGCGAAUGCUGACAUGAGUAACGACAAUGGGUGUGAAAAACACCCACGCCGAAAGACCAAGGGUUCCUGCGCAACGUUAAUCGACGCAGGGUUAGUCGGUUCCUAAGGCGAGGCUGAAAAGCGUAGUCGAUGGGAAACAGGUUAAUAUUCCUGUACUUCUGGUUACUGCGAUGGAGGGACGGAGAAGGCUAGGCCAGCUUGGCGUUGGUUGUCCAAGUUUAAGGUGGUAGGCUGAAAUCUUAGGUAAAUCCGGGGUUUCAAGGCCGAGAGCUGAUGACGAGUCGUCUUUUAGAUGACGAAGUGGUUGAUGCCAUGCUUCCAAGAAAAGCUUCUAAGCUUCAGGUAACCAGGAACCGUACCCCAAACCGACACAGGUGGUCGGGUAGAGAAUACCAAGGCGCUUGAGAGAACUCGGGUGAAGGAACUAGGCAAAAUGGCACCGUAACUUCGGGAGAAGGUGCGCCGGCUAGGGUGAAGGAUUUACUCCGUAAGCUCUGGCUGGUCGAAGAUACCAGGCCGCUGCGACUGUUUAUUAAAAACACAGCACUCUGCAAACACGAAAGUGGACGUAUAGGGUGUGACGCCUGCCCGGUGCCGGAAGGUUAAUUGAUGGGGUUAGCGCAAGCGAAGCUCUUGAUCGAAGCCCCGGUAAACGGCGGCCGUAACUAUAACGGUCCUAAGGUAGCGAAAUUCCUUGUCGGGUAAGUUCCGACCUGCACGAAUGGCGUAACGAUGGCGGCGCUGUCUCCACCCGAGACUCAGUGAAAUUGAAAUCGCUGUGAAGAUGCAGUGUAUCCGCGGCUAGACGGAAAGACCCCGUGAACCUUUACUGUAGCUUUGCACUGGACUUUGAGCCUGCUUGUGUAGGAUAGGUGGGAGGCUUUGAAGCGUGGACGCCAGUUCGCGUGGAGCCAUCCUUGAAAUACCACCCUGGCAUGCUUGAGGUUCUAACUCUGGUCCGUGAUCCGGAUCGAGGACAGUGUAUGGUGGGCAGUUUGACUGGGGCGGUCUCCUCCUAAAGAGUAACGGAGGAGUACGAAGGUGCGCUCAGACCGGUCGGAAAUCGGUCGUAGAGUAUAAAGGCAAAAGCGCGCUUGACUGCGAGACAGACACGUCGAGCAGGUACGAAAGUAGGUCUUAGUGAUCCGGUGGUUCUGUAUGGAAGGGCCAUCGCUCAACGGAUAAAAGGUACUCCGGGGAUAACAGGCUGAUACCGCCCAAGAGUUCAUAUCGACGGCGGUGUUUGGCACCUCGAUGUCGGCUCAUCACAUCCUGGGGCUGAAGCCGGUCCCAAGGGUAUGGCUGUUCGCCAUUUAAAGUGGUACGCGAGCUGGGUUUAGAACGUCGUGAGACAGUUCGGUCCCUAUCUGCCGUGGACGUUUGAGAUUUGAGAGGGGCUGCUCCUAGUACGAGAGGACCGGAGUGGACGAACCUCUGGUGUUCCGGUUGUCACGCCAGUGGCAUUGCCGGGUAGCUAUGUUCGGAAAAGAUAACCGCUGAAAGCAUCUAAGCGGGAAACUUGCCUCAAGAUGAGAUCUCACUGGGAACUUGAUUCCCCUGAAGGGCCGUCGAAGACUACGACGUUGAUAGGCUGGGUGUGUAAGCGUUGUGAGGCGUUGAGCUAACCAGUACUAAUUGCCCGUGAGGCUUGACCAU
rnacentral:rRNA from 1 species